UCUGCCUCAGUCUCCCAGAAGGAGCUAUUACAGGCAUGUGUUCCUCUUCCUGGGAAGAAUCCCUGGUUUACACACCCCUGCUGGAUCAGUGGGCUGGGGAUGAACACCUGCUCCAAUUCCCUAGAGAAAUGCAGCCAUUGCCGGCUUCUUCACCUGUUCUAAAUGGAGGAACACAGUCUUAUACUUUUCUUUCCCUCUCAGCCCCUUCCACCACCUCCCUUACCAACAUGAACGUAAAAACCAAGAAAAAAAAAGCAAACAGAACUGAAAGUACAACAAACAAAAGAACAAAGAGAGCAAGGUCAGAGAAAGCACAGCGGAAGGAAGAGGAAGCAGCAGGCUGGCUACGGGUGCACACAGAACAGCUGGAGUCCUGGUCCACUCUUCCCAGGGACUCCAACAAACUACCUUCUGCACCUCCCAGUCCCCCCGCAGACCUGAAGACAGAUGGAGAAGCACAAUCUCAUAAGCUGCAGCAGCUGUGGCCCAUACCUCAGCAACCCGCCAGCUUCCUUCUCCAGAAGGCAGCAGCAGCAGGAAGGGGAAAAGAAAAGGAAAGGAUACAAUAAUAACCCCAAACCUUUUCAUCUCAGCUUAAAUUUAUCAUUUGCUUCAUUCUCAGCAUCUCUUCCUCCCUCCCUGACUCAUAAGCAAAUGAUCAAACAGGGCUUUGCCAAGAGGAAGCAUGGAGCCACUGAGGCGGCAUCUUCUCUCAGACUGAAAGGGGGCAUCGAAUUACACGCAGAAAGGAUGCACCUGCUUCCAGAGGCAGCAUGGGGGGAAAAGCGCUCAUAAAGAGCCCCAGAUUACUGCAAGCAAGAUAAUAAUGUGAUGGGGUUGAAAUUAAAUGCUAAAUUAAGAUUGCUUAUGGAAUUUAAAGGGGAUGGGAAGAAAUGGGGUGGAGAGACCAGAAAUGGGAGUGGGGGUGGGGAGAAAAGAACAAGAAAAAUAGACACAGUACAGUAGACAAAGGGGAAGAUGCAUUAAAAAAAAAAUACAGCAGCACAAAUAAAGACAGAAACAGAAAGGAGGAAGCCAGCACCUGGAAAGCAGUUACAGCUGCAGAGGGGGUGCAAAAAGGAGAGCACAGGGAGCGGGAGGAAGGUCAGGAGCCAGAGCAGAAAGCGCACUUCCUUCAUCUAUUUCAGUUUGCCCAUGACUAGGUAAGGUUUGCUCAUGCUCCACUGUCCACCCGCCCUCCAGCUCUGCCUGAAGAGCCCCAGGGUCUGUGUGGCACACCCCACACAUCAGCUGACCCCCACAUCCACCUGUCUCUCCCUCUCCAAAACAGACAGGAAGGCCAUUCUCACGGUGUGGGUAACUCUGGGCAUCCUUAUGGGCUGUAGCACCCGUAAUCAUUUUGCAGCAGCCCAGAAUAAUGGGGCUCUUAGGCCCAGCUCACGCUUCCUUCCAAAGGGCAGAGGCUGCCUGGGGGCUGCUGACUCUUGAUAGAGCGAUUUAGAACUGUGUGCUCAGCAAUUCAACAAAGCACAGACCCCCACACGGUGAUUCUCCAUUUUCCCCAGGCUGCCCGCACUGCAUUGAUUUCACUAGCUCUGCAGCCAUUUAGUGAAGACAAAAAGAGGUAAAAUUGCCAGGUUCUGGACUUCUCCAGCAGACUGAGAGGAAAGAAUCCUGGAGGAAGAGUGACCAUGAGCUCAUUUGAAUGAGUGAUAGGCAGACAUACUCCCUUGAGCGAGGGAGACCACACCAAGACACAAUUGUUAGGGGUGGGAGUUCGGGUGUCAGAACCUCGAGCUGUGCUUUCCAAUGGGCCUGAAGCCGAGACAAACUGGCACGACAGUGAAGGAAGUAGGAAGAGAUGGAAAGGGAAGGGGCAAGCAGUCCCAGGCUGCAGAGGUAGGAAAUAAAUAAUGUCCAGAAGAGUCUGGCUCUGAAGUAGACCAAAUGGCUCUCCUGUCCCAUGUUUAUGGGGUCAUGGGCCAUUAAGCCAGCCAACCUACAGAUGUCUUCAUAAGACUUUACGAGAUUAGACUAGGAAGACCCCAUCACUCAGCAGCAAGAAUAGAAAACAAGAGGGGAGAAUUGCAGAUAAGAGCUGGUACAAACAAGGACUCUGCUUUGACAGUCCCAUUUCUGUGGGAAGAUGUCCGGGUCCUGGCAUUUCCCCCCUUUCUCACUUCUCACUCUUCUGGAGACUUUCUGCCAAUCUCCACUAGCCUCGGGGCUGCAUUAAAUUUUGUGUUCUGGAUUAUUCUACCUUCCCCUCCUAAUAUGCCUUGCAGUUGGCUCUCACCACUUUUCCAGCCCCAGUAUCCAGGCCUCAGAGUUUCUUCAGCCUUUGAUAAACAAAGCAGAAAGAUGAAAGAUUUACAUUUACAAAUGCACAUGACUCAGAUUUUUAAAUCUAAAGACUGCUUGAUGUGGUUUCUUACAUUCCAGUGACUUCGAGGUUUUUUCCCCCCCACAGCACUGGCAAAUGAGCCCAAGGCUUUCACACUGAGCUGCAUCACCACCCCUUUUAAAUUUUCAGACAGGACAUUGCCAAGUCACUAAAUUGCCUGAGAUGGGCUUGAACUUCUGAUUCUCCGGUGCUGAAUGGGACGCCACCUGUGUACUGAUGUGCACUGUAAGCACAUGAAUUCCUGAAACCUCUCUCUUAUUCUGUGAACUGUCCAGAGCAACAGCAUGAGAAUCAGGAAAGUACACAAACCCAGUUUAGGGAAUAGGGCAGAAAAAAAGCCAAGUUCCCUUAUGUACCCCUGGCUAGCACCACCCGGUGGCUAUCUGAAAAAUCUGAGACAGGGUGUCCAAAAAACAACAUAACCUCUGAGGCCAAUGACCUCCAGAAAAAGCUUCUGUUCUCCAAGUCUUGUGGCUCUUUCAGCAACAAGGACAAGGCAUGACUAAUGAUAACAGUCUAGAACCCAAAUUGAAAAGGAAUGUUAAGACCCAGCUUUUCAAACCACCACUCAAGGUCCAUAUUUGAAAAGCAACCAUUUAUUAGAACCAAUACAAGAGUAUGAAAAGGGGGAAAAGAGAAGGGUGGAAGAGGGGGAGAGAAUGAGGUCUGAAUCAGAUGUCAGUUAUGGAAACACAUAAAUGCCUACUUUUAAACGUUUACAGUUAAAAGGUGAACAUAUAUAUAAUCACUUAUCCUUUAAAAAAAUCAAAAGCAGACAUGUUUGGCUGAAAUAAAACCAAGAAAAGUAACUCCCCCACAAACCAGAAACUCCAUAGAGAAUUCAAUGUCUCAUUUCCAUUCAGAAAUCUGGCUAUAAAGUGUGACUUGUUUUGCUUCUCAGGAUGGUGCAGUGCUGGAAAAGCCCAGCCUCUUGAGUCUCUCAGAUCCCAUCCGGUGGGAAGUGGUGACGAGGCCAGCAGGCCACAGCGAGGCAACCCUGGCUACGUGGCAGGAUGUGACUGUGCUCUCCAUCCUCCAGGGCUCCACAGAACCAUCCGGUGCCAAGUGAACAGUGGGAGCAGAGUCCACAAAACAGAACUGGAAUGUGACCGCAAGGAGCCAGAACCUUGUGCUUUUUUAUGGGUUACAAAUCUAGUGCCAAGGAGGGGAAAGAAGAGCCCUAUUGGGAAGAGGAGCUGACUGAGUCUCUAAGCUGAGAUGGAAAUAAGGCUUUGAGCCCACACUUGGGCAACAAAACGUGUUCAAAGUUUUCUCAAACCAGAGGGGAAAAAAGGGUCAAGGACAGGUCUACACUGUGGACACUGAGAAAAGAGAUGCAGAUACUAAAUAUAAUGACUCUACUAUAAAGCCAUAAGGACCAAUGCCUGAUUCUGAGUGCUACAGUAUUUUGAGGGGAAAAAUUCUAAUGCACCUCUUUUGGUUGGGAAUAAAAAGGCGGUUACGUUUACUGAACCACCUAGUUUCUAUGAGAGCUUAAAAGCAUAAAGGGGCACAGUGACCCAGCUGCCCCGGGAUCAGUUUGUGUAAUGGAAAGCAACAACAUAAAUCUAAGCUAGAGGUUGCUUUGCUCCUGAGACAGUCCAAGUUGGCUCCAAAUGCAUGGGGAAUGGGAUCUUAGUUCCCAAACUGCAGAGGACAAGUGCUAGCAUCCCUGCCUCAGGAUUCCCUAGUCCAAUGCUCUUGAGCUUGAAAUAGCCUCUUGUGAAUGUAAGACAGAAAGUACUAGUGCCUUCCCCCAUGACAUCCUAAGUUAAAUCUGCACUCUUUUCUAAGAUUCCAACAUUCACAAAAACACUGUCAUCUGAACUAGCAGCACUGAUGAGGGGUGGGAGCAGAGAAUUUGCUGAAGUCACUAAGCAGUUCCAAACCUGGUGACAACUCAGUGAGGAUUAAAACCUCUGCCAGGCUUAAAUUUUGGCUCAAGGCAUCCUCCAGAGGACCCUAAAGUAUUCUUCAACUUUGAUUUACAAUGCCUCACAACACCCCAUGAGGUAGGUCAUUAUUAUUACCCCCAUUUAAUAGAUGGGAGAACUGAGGCAUUGAAUGACUUGCCCAAGGUCAGGCAUUAUGAAUCAGUUGAGGUUGGCACACAUAGUACACAUUCACUCGAUUCUUCUGCUGCUUCCUAGAGCAUUUUUCUUUUCCGAGUAUACUUCAGAGCAACAGAAGUGGGCAGGUACACUGUACUUCGCAAACCAGAUGAACUCAAUCAACCUGCACGGAUUAACCUAUCACUUAUCUAGCCUAAGGUGAGGAACACAGGAGAAACCAUCAGCUUUGAAAAUCACAGUAGUGAAUAUUUUGAAAAUAAAAUUACAAUUUAUACACUAAACACAUGGAUUCUUUCAAAAAAAGUUUUUCACUUUAGAGAUGAAGGAUUAAGUCACACCGGUCUCUCAAAGUUUUGUACUAAGUAACCUAAAUUCCUAAAAUGAAGCAAGACCCUUCUUACACAGGAACAGUAAGAACUGCUGCCCAGUGGAGGGCCCGGCAGCGCUUUUAUGGGCCUGCAAAGAGCAGAGUACACAGGGCAGGAAGCCAAGCACCCCACGAGCUCUCCUGCUGUGUGGCAUUUCUCCUCAUCAUCUUGCUCAACCCCAAGACCUGUGACUUCUCCAUAAACAGCACGCGAUUAAGGACAUAAAUGGUGACCUCCAUAACUAGUCAUAGAAGCUCUUACAAUACUCUUUUCUCCUGCCAGAGCAUGGGGAACGAGAUGACAAAACCACACCAAAACACCUCCACCCACUUGGGUUUGACUUUGGAUUCUGGUAGAAAUUAUGUCCCUUAUCCCAAAACUAUGGAGACGAGGAGGGCUCCAAAGCCAAAGCUAGCCCUGGGUUAGAAUGAAAUUCUAAAGUUACUGGAUCUGGAAAACACAGCUUUGAGCCUCAAGAACACUGAGACACAAGCACUCUGUUUCUUCAGCUGUGCACAAAGAAUUUCCAGGUAAAACAUCCCUCCCUCCUUCUAGGCCCCUCACAGCAGCCAGGUAUCAAGACUCUAUGAGCAACAGAAACUCAAAGAACUAACUUUUCAACACACAGCACAGGCUCACAAAGAGUAUCUUAUUCCAGAACUCACUCCACAAUCUAAAAGCUUUUUCUUUUUCACUGAUGGGGGGUCACACUGUACAGAAUCCAGGUUCAAGAAAGUUCAAGAUUGAUUUUUUUGGCAAUGACAUUUCAGGUUCUGCCUGUAUUUGGACUUCCGCCCCUCCAAAAUAAAAGCUCCUUAAAAAUGGCCACUUCAGCUUGGAUCAAUUGUUUAGGGUUACAACCUGUCAAUGCUAGGGGACAUCACCAAAAAAAAAAAAAAAAAAAAAAAAAAGACAA